rnacentral:lncRNA from 1 species
GGCCUGGAAGCUCACGUCCUCCCUGUUGGACAGCCCUCUCUGCCAUGGAAGGGAGUGGGUAGGAGACAGGGCAAUGCUGGAGACAAGAGUGGAGGCUUUGCCGCAAGGCCCCUCUGGGAGUAUCCUGUGCAGCUUUGGGCAAUGAACUUAACCAGCCUUAGUUGCCCAUUCUGCAAAAUGGGGCUGAUAUCACUACCAACCUCACCGUGUAGGGUGGAGAAAUGCUACUCAGUGCAUGAGUCGUGCCUUGCAAAGGACUCGGAAUACAGUGAGCAGAGCGUUCAAGGGGGUCCUCCUGCCCGCCCACCCAGGGACCAGCCCAAGACGGGACCCAGGAACUGUGGUCACCAUCCUCUAAAAUGACGCCAAUGACCCCACCUCCGGUAGUCACACCCCGUGUAGUCCCCUCCCACACUAUGCCAGGGUGGAUCUUCAGGAGCCAAAAGAAUACAGCAGAAGUGACAGCAUCUCACGUCUGAGCCUAGCUUAGGACAGAUGGUGCCUCUUGUCUUUCCUCAGCUCAUCCCUGGGAGUGGCCAGCUGCCACAUCCCGAGGACACGUGGGCAACCUGUGGCCACGUGGUGAGGACUGAGGUGCCAUCAAGGCCUGCCAAGGACCACAGGGCAGCCGGGAAGUGGCUCCUGCCCCAGGUCAGCCUUCUCGGGAGUGCCUGCGGGAACGGGGGCGGGACCACGUGCUAAGCCCCGCCCCAGGACCAGGAGAGGAUAGGUGCUCCUGGCAGGCAAGAAGAUGCCACUCAGGACAGUUUCCCAGCAGGAGAUAACUGCACUACCCUGCCCCCACGUGGGCAGAGCAAGAGGGGCACCUGGCAGCGUGUCCCCAGUGAGGCACUGUCCUGAGCCUAUUUCCUCAGCAGUAAAAGAAGAGCCCCAAGGGGCCUCCCCAGGGCUGACAGGAUGGCCAACAGAAGUGAGCUCCAAGCCAGGGGCUUGUUAGGUAAGGAGGGGGGUCCCCUGUCUGCUGUGAAAACAUCCAGCUGUCACCCACCCAGAAGGCUCCACUCACAUGACUCCAAUGCCACUCUUUACAGCCAAGUCUUGUCAUUGCUGAGGGACACCAGACAGUCCUGGGUUUUGGUUUUGGUUUUUUAUGAAACUGUGUUUGGCGGUGGUGAUUGUUCUAGAAUCACUGUCUUCUCAUGAUACAAAACUAAAAGAGCUCAAAACCCUGUGGCAUAAAAGGUGACCAUCUUUCCUUACUCUUUGGUCUAAACUGUCUCACUCACAGAUAGCU